rnacentral:rRNA from 1 species
AACGAACGCUGGCGGCAUGCCUAACACAUGCAAGUCGAACGGGAUCCUAGCUUGCUAGGUGAGAGUGGCGGACGGGUGAGUAACACGUGGGAAUCUGCCUUUUUGGUUCGGGAUAACCGCGGGAAACUGCGGCUAAUACCGAAUGCCCUCGAGAGAGGAAAGAUUUAUCGCCAGAAGAGGAGCCCGCGUCCGAUUAGGUAGUUGGUGGGGUAAAGCCUACCAAGCCGACGAUCGGUAGCUGGUCUGAGAGGAUGAUCAGCCACACUGGGACUGAGAUACGGCCCAGACUCCUACGGGAGGCAGCAAGUGGGGAAUAUUGGACAAUGGGGGCAACCCUGAUCCAGCAAUGCCGCGUGA